rnacentral:rRNA from 1 species
GCCUACGGGACGCAGCAGUGAGGAAUAUUGGUCAAUGGGAGAGAUCCUGAACCAGCCAAGCCGCGUGAGGGAAGACGGCCCUAUGGGUUGUAAACCUCUUUCGUCGGAGAACAAAACCCGGGACGAGUCCCGGACUGCGUGUAUCCGAAGAAAAAGCAUCGGCUAACUCCGUGCCAGCAGCCGCGGUAAUACGGAGGAUGCGAGCGUUAUCCGGAUUUAUUGGGUUUAAAGGGUGCGUAGGCGGUCUGUUAAGUCAGCGGUAACAUUGCGGGGCUCAACCCCGUCGGGCCGUUGAAUCUGGCCGG